AUAAGUUGCAUCUUUGUUACAAAAUUCUCAGAAUAAGAAUGGUCAUUGUAUAACAAAAUCACACGUAUUUUCAAUUCAUGCUCUGUAUCAGCAUUGUAUUACCCUUCCAAAUCAAAAUAAAAAAAACAAACAAAACAAAAAUAAACCAAAAAUCGUCUUUAUCUUUAAACGGAAUGCUCAAAUCAUCAAAAAGAAAACAACAAUGAUACAAUGUAUAUAUCGAAAAGGGACCUUACUGCUAUUAUUCUGUGGUUACAUGUAGUAGCGACUUUUAUGUUACUCAUUUGUUCGUUCACAGAAAUGAGUGUUCUUGUGUUUGUCAUGUUUGUUUGUGCUGUAUUUCUGUCAUGUUUGUUGUUAUUUUUAGUGAUGUUUUUUUAAUAUUGCUAUAUACGCAGUUUAUUUAGCUAACCAUUAAUCCUGAUUCAACCCACC
rnacentral:lncRNA from 1 species